rnacentral:rRNA from 1 species
AUUGAACGCUGGCGACAGGCCUAACACAUGCAAGUCGAGCGGAGCGGCGGAAGGGUGAGUCAUGCCUAGGGAUCUGCCUGGUAGUGGGGGAGACAGUCUGGAAAAGGGCGCUAAUACAGCAUACUAUAAGAUGAGUCACGGUCGGAUUAGCUAGUUGGUGGGGUAAAGUCCUACCAAGGCGACGAUACGUAACUGGUCUGAUAGGAGGAUCAGUCAGACUGGAACUGAGACACGGUCCAGACUCCUACGGGAGGCAGCAGUGGGGAAUCUGGGACAAUGGGCGAAAGUCUGAACCAGCCAUGCCGCGUGUGGGAAGAAGGUCUUCGGAUUGUAAAGCACUUUAAGUUGGGAGGCGUUACCAAACCAAUAAGCACCGGCUAACUUCGUGCCAGCAGCCGCGGUAAUAC